rnacentral:misc_RNA from 1 species
GAUGAAGAACGUAGCGAAAUGCGAUACGUAAUGUGAAUUGCAGAAUUCAGUGAAUCAUCGAGUCUUUGAACGCACAUUGCGCCCCCUGGUAUUCCGGGGGGCAUGCCUGUCCGAGCGUCAUUGCUGCCCUCAAGCACGGCUUGUGUGUUGGGCCUCCGUCCUCCUCCCGGGGGACGGGCCCGAAAGGCAGCGGCGGCACCGCGUCCGGUCCUCGAGCGUAUGGGGCUUCGUCACCCGCUCUUGUAGGCCCGGCCGGCGCUUGCCGACACAUCAAGCUUUUUUCCAGGUUGACCUCGGAUCAGGUAGGGAUACACGCUGAACUUAAGCAUAUCAAUAAGCGGAGGA